GUCUGCAUGGCUGUCGUCAGCUCGUGCCGUGAGGUGUUGGGUUAAGUCCCGCAACGAGCGCAAACCCCUAUCUUUAGUUGCCAGCGAGUAAUGUCGGGGACUCUAAAGAAACUGCCUACGCAAGUAGAGAGGAAGGCGGGGACGACGUCAAGUCAUCACGGCCCUUACGUCCUGGGCCACACACGUGCUACAAUGGUUGGUACAGAGGGCAGCUGCCGGGUGACCGGAUGCGAAUCUCUAAAGCCAAUCUCAGUUCGGAUUGGAGUCUGCAACUCGACUCUAUGAAGCUGGAAUCGCUAGUAAUCGCGCAUCAGCCAUGGCGCGG
rnacentral:rRNA from 1 species